GGCUUAUUUGACUCAACGCGGAAAAGCUUAUCUGGUCCGGACACAGUGAGGAUUGACAGACAGUUGGCAGGAGUGGUUCUUGGUAAAAACAAAUGAGAGAGUUGAAGUUCUUUCAUGAUCUUGUGAGAGGUGGUGCAUGGCCGUUCUUAGUUCGUGUAGUGAUAUGUCUGCCUAAUCGCGUCACGAUAACCUAUUGGUCGACAACCCAAUUAUCACAACUGCAGCAUAACUCCCCUUGGGUGGGCGAGGCUCUGUGUAGGAUAGACCUCUGAACAGUACGCAACGAACGCGAUCGUAAUCCCUUGUUGAGUGGCCAUCCUGUAAGCUGCUGGAUUUGAAACCCAGUGGUAUUAUCUCAGCCACAGAUUUUCUGGUUGUAAUGGGCCAGUUUUGAAACUCGGGGAACAUCUGUGACUUUCUUUCUUAACGCAAGGAAGGUUAUGGCAAUAACA
rnacentral:rRNA from 1 species